rnacentral:rRNA from 1 species
UCCUACGGGGGGCAGCAGUGAGGAAUAUUGGUCAAUGGCCGGAAGGCUGAACCAGCCAAGUCGCGUGAGGGAAUAAGGCCCUAUGGGUCGUAAACCUCUUUUGUCAGGGAGCAAAGGCGUCCACGUGUGGACGAGAGGAGAGUACCUGAAGAAAAAGCAUCGGCUAACUCCGUGCCAGCAGCCGCGGUAAUACGGAGGAUGCGAGCGUUAUCCGGAUUUAUUGGGUUUAAAGGGUGCGUGGCGGGCUGUUAAAUCAGCGGUAAAAGCCCGGGGCUCAACCCCGGCGAGCCGUUGAAACUGGCUGU